GAGUUUGAUCGUGGCUCAGAUUGAACGCUGGCGGCAUGCCUUACACAUGCAAGUCGAACGGCAGCACGGGAGCUUGCUCCUGGUGGCGAGUGGCGAACGGGUGAGUAAUGCAUCGGAACGUAUCCUGGAGUGGGGGAUAACGUAGCGAAAGUUACGCUAAUACCGCAUAUUCUGUGAGCAGGAAAGCGGGGGACCUUCGGGCCUCGCGCUCUUGGAGCGGCCGAUGUCGGAUUAGCUAGUUGGUGAGGUAAAGGCUCACCAAGGCGACGAUCCGUAGCAGGUCUGAGAGGAUGAUCUGCCACACUGGAACUGAGACACGGUCCAGACUCCUACGGGAGGCAGCAGUGGGGAAUUUUGGACAAUGGGGGCAACCCUGAUCCAGCCAUGCCGCGUGAGUGAAGAAGGCCUCGGUUGUAAGUACGU
rnacentral:rRNA from 3 species